rnacentral:rRNA from 1 species
GAUGAACGCUGGCGGCGUGCCUAACACAUGCAAGUCGAACGGAAAGGCCCUGCUCUUGCGGGGUGCUCGAGUGGCGAACGGGUGUGUAACACGCGAGUAACCUGCCCCUGUCUUUGGGAUAACUCUAGGAAACUGCGGCUAAUACCGGAUAGGAGCUCUUGCAGCACGGUGGUGGAUGGAAAGUUUCGGCGGUUGGGGCUGGUCUCGCGGCUUAUGAGCUAGUUGGUGGGGUAGUGGCUUACAAAGGCUUCGACGGGUAGCCGGCCUGAGAGGGUGGCCGGCCUCCUGAGGACUGCGGUACGCCGCAGACUCCUACGUGAGGCAACGGUCGGGAGUAUUACGCAGUGGGCCGGCGCCUGUUACGGAGGCGCCGCGUGCGGAAUGCCGGCCUACGGGUUAUAAACCGCUUUCGCCUGAGACGAGGCGUGCGUGACGGUAACGAGUAAAGAAGCACCGGCUAACUACGUG